CGACGGCGACGCCACGCCUUCCCCUCCACCGCUGGCUCUCUCUUCCACCGGCGACGUUCUCCCCGAUCACACCUGCCCCUGUGAGAGUCGGAGAAGACGAGCCUCCUCCAUCCUGGGAUAUAGUUCCUGAUCCGAUCUUCGAAGGAGGGAGACGACUUGAUGUCGUAAUGUUGUUUGAUGUCAAGCUCAUAUGAUGAGAGUUGCUAGAUGAAGAUUGAAGUUGCUUUGUUCAAUAUUCUGUAUUGACUUAUAAUAUUUGGGCAUGAACUCAAUCUUAAGUAUGUUGAAAGGACCUUUGCUGUUAUUUAUGAUCAAAUUAUGUCCGCUAGAUGUCUAGCAAGUUACUUAUAUCAAAUAGUUGAUCUAGAUGCAGACUGAAGUGCUGCUAGGAUGCAUCUAUUUGUAGAGGAGUUUUGAGAAGAGGUGAUCAAAUUAUGUUUGGCAGAAGCUAUUUGUAUUAUCUUUUGAUUUUCGUCAUGAUUAAAUGUGAUAAACAUUUUAAUGUUU